rnacentral:rRNA from 1 species
ACGUAGGGCGCAAGCGUUAUCCGGAAUUAUUGGGCGUAAAGAGCUCGUAGGCGGUCUGUCGCGUCUGCUGUGAAAACCCGAGGCUCAACCUCGGGCCUGCAGUGGGUACGGGCAGACUAGAGUGCGGUAGGGGAGAUUGGAAUUCCUGGUGUAGCGGUGGAAUGCGCAGAUAUCAGGAGGAACACCGAUGGCGAAGGCAGAUCUCUGGGCCGUAACUGACGCUGAGGAGCGAAAGGGUGGGGAGCAAACAGG